rnacentral:rRNA from 1 species
GUGAGGAAUAUUGGUCAAUGGGCGGGAGCCUGAACCAGCCAAGUCGCGUGAAGGAAGAAGGAUCUAUGGUUCGUAAACUUCUUUUGCAGGGGAAUAAAGUGCAGGACGUGUCCUGUUUUGUAUGUACCCUGAGAAUAAGGAUCGGCUAACUCCGUGCCAGCAGCCGCGGUAAUACGGAGGAUCCGAGCGUUAUCCGGAUUUAUUGGGUUUAAAGGGUGCGUAGGUGGUUUGAUAAGUCAGCGGUGAAAGUUUGCAGCUUAACUGUAAAAAUGCCGAUGAAACUGUCGGACUUGAGUGUAAAUGAGGUAGGCGGAAUGCGUGGUGUAGCGGUGAAAUGCAUAGAUAUCACGCAGAACUCCGAUUGCGAAGGCAGCUUACUAAGCUACAACUGACACUGAAGCACGAAAGCGUGGGGAUCAAACAGGAUUAGAAACCCGGGUAGUCC